GGAACCUUGGGGCUAGCCUGGACCCUCUGGGAGGUGAGGAGUCCCACUGUAUCCUGGUGGGGGUUCAGAGGGUUCCUGUGAUUUUUGAUGUCCCUCACCUUCUGAAAUCAAUCAGGAACAACCUGUUCAAACAUGCCCUACAGACACAAGGAAAAACGGUUCUUUGGAAGCACAUCAGCCAAUUCUAUGAGCUGGACAAGCUCCACACUAUUCGGAUGGCCCCGAAGCUUACUGAUAAGCACAUUCUGCUGCCAGCAUUUUCCAAGAUGCGUGUCAGUUUGGCUGCACAGGUGGUCAGCCACACUGUCUCUGCUGGCAUUUCUGCGAUGGUAACAUUGCGGAGACUGCCAGCAGAGGCAAAAGAUACAGCUGACUGUGUAGCCAAAUUAAAUCACCUUUUUGAUGUGCUAAAUUCCAGAUCAGUCAAGGAUUCUAACCCCUGGCGACGACCCCUAUGCUCAGGAAACCAGGAGAAGGAGAACUUCCUGAGGGAAUGCAUCAGCUGGGUGGCAAGCUGGCAGUUCAGAUCUCAGCGUAAGCCACCACCUUCCCAGCACGGAAUGUGCCUCUCCAUAAAAAGUGUCCUUCUUGUCCACAAGAGGUGCACAGAUACAGGAAUGAAGUAUCUGUGCACCUCAAAAUUGAACCAGGACUGCAUUGAGGUAGGUCAACACACAAUUACUUUGCAAAUAUAAAAGUUACCUGUUGAAAACUAGGAUUUUGACCACCUGCUUUUUUAUUUUUUAAGAACCUAUUCUCCUUGAUUCGGGGCAAAGGGGGGCACAAAUACAAUCCCAGUGCGAGGGAAUUCACCGCUGCACUCAGGGGUUUGAGUGUAGCCAACAUUUUACCUGCUCUUUCUGCAUCGACUGCAUCAAACUGCUAGCUGGAUGACGGGACAACCCUCCUAGCCAGUAUGUCAGAGGACGCAAUCCCCUCCACCUCAACAGCUCCAAUGACCUCAAUGGCCCUCCCUACCACCCUGACAACAGAGAUUGAGGAUGAAGAACCAGUGGUAUCGGACAUUGUGGAAGAUCAGACUGUUGGCGAUUGCAUCCAGGAGGAGGGCCUGUUCUACGUUGCUGGCUGGCUUGUCCGGGUCCUUCAAAAGGAGGAAAUUGUUCAGGCCUGUCCACACUGUGAGGUGCUGUUGUUGGGUGCCAGACA